CUCCCUGAAGUGUCCACGUGGAGAGGAAUGUGUUGGGAGAGGACGGGACGUGUUCCUGUACAAGUCUGGCUACCAUCACCGGGUACAUCACAUUUGUGACAUGUCCAACUGGUACACGAUGCUGACGGAGGUCUUGUGCUGUGGGCCAUGCACGAAAGCAGCCAGGAGCAGAGACGGUGUCACGGCGGGGCGGUGGCUUGCAUGGGAUGCCGCUAUUCUGGCACAACUUAGCGAGGCUCACCAAGCGAUGUUCCUUGUCGUCCUGACCAGCUAACGAGGUGUGGACAAGAAUGUUGUGCGUCUUUUGAGGGACCGGACUGAAGGGA